UACGUAGGGGGCAAGCGUUGUCCGGAAUCAUUGGGCGUAAAGCGCGUGUAGGCGGCCCGGUAAGUCCGCUGUGAAAGCCCAGGGCUCAACCCUGGAAUGCCGGUGGAUACUGUCGGGCUCGAGUCCGGAAGAGGCGAGUGGAAUUCCUGGUGUAGCGGUGAAAUGCGCAGAUAUCAGGAGGAACACCGAUGGCGAAGGCAGCUCGCUGGGACGUGACUGACGCUGAGACGCGAAAGCGUGGGGAGCAAACAGG
rnacentral:rRNA from 1 species